GGUGCUUGCACCCCGCUGACGAGCGGCGGACGGGUGAGUAAUGCAUAGGAAACUGCCCAGUAGUGGGGGAUAGCCCGGGGAAACCCGGAUUAAUACCGCGUACGCCCUUCGGGGGAAAGCAGGGGAUCUUCGGACCUUGCGCUAUUGGAUGUGCCUAUGUCGGAUUAGCUAGUUGGUGGGGUAAAGGCCUACCAAGGCGACGAUCCGUAGCUGGUCUGAGAGGAUGAUCAGCCACAUCGGGACUGAGACACGGCCCGAACUCCUACGGGAGGCAGCAGUGGGGAAUAUUGGACAAUGGGGGCAACCCUGAUCCAGCCAUGCCGCGUGUGUGAAGAAGGCUUUCGGGUUGUAAAGCACUUUCAGUGAGGAGGAAAACCUUAUGGUUAAUACCCAUGAGGC
rnacentral:rRNA from 1 species